AGUGAACGCUGGCGGUAGGCCUAACACAUGCAAGUCGAACGGCAGCACAGUAAGAACUUGCUCUUACGGGUGGCGAGUGGCGGACGGGUGAGGAAUACACCGGAAUCUACUUUUUAGUGGGGGAUAACGUAGGGAAACUUACGCUAAUACCGCAUACGACCUACGGGUGAAAGCAGGGGAUCUUCGGACCUUGCGCGAAUGAAUGAGCCGAUGUCGGAGUCGCUAGUUGGCGGGGUAAAGGCCCACCAAAGCGACUAUCCGUAGCUGGUCCGAGGGGAUGAACAACUAGACUGGAUCUGAGACACAGUCCCCACUCCUAGAGGAAGCAACAGUGCGGAAUAUUGGAGAAUGGGCGCGAGCCUGAUCCAGCCAUACCGCGUGGGUGCUGACGGAGUUCGGGUUGUAAAGCCAUUUAGUUGGGAAAGAAGAACAGCAGGUUAAUACCCCGCUGUUCUGACGGUACCCAGAGAAUAAGCACCGGCUAACUUCGUG
rnacentral:rRNA from 1 species